rnacentral:rRNA from 1 species
GUGGGUAACCUGCCCAAGAGACUGGGAUAACACCUGGAAACAGAUGCUAAUACCGGAUAACAACACUAGACGCAUGUCUAGAGUUUGAAAGAUGGUUCUGCUAUCACUCUUGGAUGGACCUGCGGUGCAUUAGUUAGUUGGUAAGGUAACGGCUUACCAAGGCAAUGAUGCAUAGCCGAGUUGAGAGACUGAUCGGCCACAUUGGGACUGAGACACGGCCCAAACUCCUACGGGAGGCAGCAGUAGGGAAUCUUCCACAAUGGACGAAAGUCUGAUGGAGCAACGCCGCGUGAGUGAAGAAGGGUUUCGGCUCGUAAAGCUCUGUUGGUAGUGAAGAAAGAUAGAGGUAGUAACUGGCCUUUAUUUGACGGUAAUUACUUAGAAAGUCACGGCUAACUACGUGCCAGCAGCCGCGGUAAUACGUAGGUGGCAAGCGUUGUCCGGAUUUAUUGGGCGUAAAGCGAGUGCAGGCGGUUCAAUAACUCUGAUGUGAAAGCCUUUCGGCUCAACCGGAGAAUUGCAUC